CCAUCCUAGGUGAGCGCGGCGCUCCGGGCACGACAGUAUUCCCCUGCCCCGCGCCCCCGGCCCGGCCCGCCCCGCGUGGGAAAUCGCCAGGGCUGUGGGAAGGCCGGGAAGGGGAAGUUUGUGUGCAGAGAGAAAGCUUUGCUGUACUGUGGCGUGGAGUGGGGUGGGAAGAGAAACAAGGGAGAGGCCGAGAAACAGGAAAUGAGAACGAAGGCACGAAUGUGAGCCAGGGCCAGCUGGGCUCCCCAUCGGUGUGGCGGUUUCCAGCCACUUCAGGCGCGGUGUGCGUUCCUAAUGACAACAAAGGCGGCGUCUGCCUGGUGCGUUCUCUGCCUCUUGCCACUCCUAGGUUCUGGGGAAAAUGGGAUGGGUGGUCCAACCUAGAGGAGGGGUCCCACAGCCUAAGAUGCGUCUUAGGAAGGCAGCAGGAUUCAGAGGAGGGGUCUGUCCUGGUCUUGAGGUUUCGAAGAGGAAGAAAUGUCUGAAAUUUGUGGAGCACUGCUCGAGUGAAGUAGCCUCAGCGGCGGGAGCGGGAAGGCGCGGGCGCAGCGAGGGCGUCGGGAACCCAGUGGGACUCGGGGGUGAGGGGUUGGUGGUUGCUGCGGUGCGGUCUCUGUUCCGGGGAAUGCAGCCGCAACUCCCACUCCCUGAUCCGAUCCUGGGCCUAGGGUAAACAGCCCCUUACACUCCACUACACCCGGAUGGAAACGACGUGAAAACACAAGUUUGAAAAGCAGCAGAAUAUCAACAACUGCGCAGGAUUUCAACGAGAAACUUGCCUCUACUAGAAUCACUGUGAAGUUUCCCUCUAGGUGGGGCAGGGAGUGAAGGAAGGGAGUUUCACUGUAAGGGUGGAAGGAUGCUGUAAGAAAUUAUGUCAUCGUGGCAGUUCUUGUACUAACAGCUCUUUCUCGAGUGAGCUGAGUGGCGGAUAGACCAUAAAUAUAUUCUAUAGCGAGUGCUUCUGCACGUGGAAAAGCAAACUGCACUGCCUUCCUAUGGCAUAAGCCACGGGCUUGUUAGGAGAGUGAUGAAAGAUAGAAAACAAACUACAAGAAUCCAUUCCAGAGGGAUAAGGAAACUAGGGGUAGGUCAAGGUUAGUAUCUAGAGUCUGGAUACCCUGUGUGGUUAAAAAAAAAAAAAAGUACAUCAAGCAUUGGGGGGAAAAGAUGCAGAUUUUAAAAAUUGUUGACAGAUAUGGAGUAGAAAUCUUAAGGCAACUUCCUAGCUAUGAAAAGGAAAAGGAGAAAAGAGAAAAACAGGUUUAGAAGAGAGAAUCACUUCAUUGUGUGGACUUGGGGUGCGUGUAAAAGAGCAAAAACAUUUGAAAUAAUACAAAGCAUGGAUGAUAACGGAGAUCACUAGAGGAGUGUGUGUGUGUACACACGCAUGCGUUUCCAAACUAGUUCAUGUAAUUCUAUCUCCAUAUAGAAUUUAGAUUUAAAGAAAAGUAAGGUGUGGACGGAAGGGAAGAAGAUAGGGAAAAGUACACUACCUUGGCAAAGGUGCGGAUUUUUAAUGUUUAGACCUUUUUCCUCUCUACCUCUGUGUUUGCAGAGAUGUGAAAAGUCAGAAAAUGUAAAGAUGGCAAAUUUAUUUCAUCCUUAAUUCAAGAGGACCAUGUAAAAGAAUGUGUAGCGAGAAAGUACGGUCAUAGAAUUUGGGGGUUGAAAGUAUCUGUCGAAUCCAAUACUAUGUGGCUUCAAUCCUGUUUAAAACCAAGAUGAUUUUGAUAAAGAAUGAUAACCCAUUUCCCUAACUAUAUAUAAAAACUUCAUUUACUUAGUCUUAGAUAACCAAAAGAAGGAUGAAUUAUGAACAAAGAAGAUAAAGUUGGGUAUUCUUAAUUUCUUACACAUAACGCAUGCAUUGAGUUUCUUUUACCUAACACAUUGUCCAGAAAAGAAAACCACACCCAAACACCCUCAAAGCAGAUAAAAUAUCUAAUUCAAACAACAGGAAAAUUUACAAUUAGAAAUAAUGUUAAUGUAAAAGUAAGUGUUACCUGCCCACAAACUUUUUGCCAGCUCUUCUUAUACUCAACCAGUGGUGAUACUGUCUUUGUAAAAUUAGUGGUUAGAAAAAUCUUUUUUUAUUUUUUAUUUUAUUUAUUUAUUUAUUUAUUUUGAGACGAAGUUUCGCUCUUGUUGCCCAGGCUGGAGUGCAACGGCGCGAUUUCGGCUCACUGCAACCUCCGCCUCCCGCGUUCAAGCGAUUCUCCUGCCUCAGACUCACAAGUAGCUAGGAUUACGGGCAUGCGCCACCACGCCUGGCUAAUUUUUGUAUUUUUAGUAGAGAUGGGGUUUCUCCAUGUUGGUCAGGCUGGUCUUGAACUCCCGACCUCAGGUGACCGCCUGGGCCUCCCAAAGUGCCGGGAUUACAGGCGGGAGCCACCGCGCCCGGCCAGAAAAAUCUUUUACAGUAUUAAGAGCAUUACUUAUACCUCACCCAGAUUUAUCUAAGGUAAAAACUCUGUUCAAUAUCUGUGUACAUUUAGAGAUUGUAAGGCUUUGGAUUAGUGAAACCAUAGAUGAUUUAGCACUAAUACGAUUUCAAGGAAUAGGGUAGGAAUGAAGUCCCUUUUAGAGGUAAAAGCUAUGUUGAAAGAUUAGAAUUAACUAGAAAGGAAAAUAAAGCUGAUUUCCAGAACUCUGAACAAAUUUUAAAAUACAAUCUUGAUUUUUUUCCUAAGGCCGAAAGUGAACAUGUACUGUUAGGUUUUCAAGCCUCUAUUUUUCAUAUGUCAUAUCUUGGCAAUAAUGUGCAGCAAAGGGGAAUUUUCCUGUUCAAGUAUGAGAAAGUGAGAAAGACAUGUAAAAGCCUUCCUAUAACUGCAAACAGCUGGUGAUAUUAUGUGAUUACUUGGUAAACAACAUGUUUUGAUUUGGGGGAUGAGCUGUCUGCAAAUUAGGGGGAAAAUGCCAUUUCGUAACUUUGUUUUAUUGCAAUCAAUACAGUUUUCGGUCCUUCUAGUUUAAAUAUCUUCAUCACAUCUUCAGAUGUGUCUUCUUUUCCACCUUCCUCCAGUCACUUUCAUGCAGGCCUUUUCCAGACUCACCUCCACUAUCAUGUCUGCUUCCCAGCUCUGAGCUCUGCAUCUAGCCCCCUUUCCCUCACAUGCACUAAUUAUAACAUAUCUGUCUUUACAAAGCCAAGUUGGCACAAAUUAGUUACAACAAAAUACUGUGACACAUAAAGGCCCCACUUCCAUAUUCAUACCUCAUACUUUCCCCUCCAGCCUGGGCACACACCUUGCGAUGAUCUUCCUCUGUCUUCUCUGGAAUCCUCUAAAAACGAUUCCUGCAUACCCCACAUACAUGUAUACAUAUCCAUCCUCUCACCAAAAAGUUAUCUUUCCCUUCUUGGAGCUUCUUGUGGUAUAAUGGAAAGAGUGCUUCAGCUGCUGACUAGCUGGGCUUUCAUCUUCUUUCUGAUUCUCUAUUUUUCCACCUACUUAAAUAACAUUUUCCCCACAUUGAAAGAUUAAGAUUUAUUAGAUGCUUACCUGCGCCAAUGGGAGAUAUACUGGCCCAAGUAAGCAUCCAAUAAAUGUUGAUUCCCUCAUUUAUUCUUCAGGUUCUCACACCUUUCUACUUCCAUGAAGUAUUGUUGGCUCACCUAUUACAUGUAACCCCUCUCAGAACAAGAGCUGUACUUUAAUCACCUAUUUAGCCUUUCUUUUACCCUCACACUGUUUUGCACAUAGUAGGUGAUUAAUGAAUGCUUCUUGAAUCAAUGAAACAACUAUAAUAUAUAAACAUAGAAUGAUAUACGUUAAAACACAAUUUAGCAGAAAACUUGAGUUUCCAUUUGGGUGCACAUAUUGAAAAUAACA
rnacentral:lncRNA from 10 species